rnacentral:rRNA from 1 species
AGUGAACGCUGGCGGUAGGCCUAACACAUGCAAGUCGAACGGCAGCACAGUAAGAGCUUGCUCUUACGGGUGGCGAGUGGCGGACGGGUGAGGAAUACAUCGGAAUCUACUUUUUCGUGGGGGAUAACGUAGGGAAACUUACGCUAAUACCGCAUACGACCUACGGGUGAAAGCAGGGGAUCUUCGGACCUUGUGCGAUUGAAUGAGCCGAUGUCGGAUUAGCUAGUUGGCGGGGUAAAGGCCCACCAAGGCGACGAUCCGUAGCUGGUCUGAGAGGAUGAUCAGCCACACUGGAACUGAGACACGGUCCAGACUCCUAGGGUGGGCCGCAGUGGGGAAUAUUGGGCAAUGGGCGCGAGCCUGAUCCAGCCAUACCGCGUGGGUGAAGAAGGCCUUCGGGUUGUAGAGCCCUUUUGUUGGGAGAGAAAAGCAGCAGGUUAAUACCCCGCUGUUCUGACGGUACCCAAAGAAUAAGCACCGGCUAACUUCGUG